rnacentral:rRNA from 1 species
UAUCCAUUAUGGAAAAUUCAACAUUAAUAUUAUAAUAUUUAUUUAUAAAUCAUUAUAAAAAUAGUGUGCAAUUUUUCCAUAUAAGGACAUUGUAAUCUGUUAAUGUAAUAAAUAUUUAUCAUAAGAUUCAAUAAAUAAAAGUUUAUUCAAAUUAGUUAUUUUCCGAUUUCUAACAUAGAAUAAAUUUAAUUGAAUUUGAUAAAUCAUUGACAGAUUUAUUUAUAUAUAGUGCUUAAAUUCUUAAUUGAAUUUUACAAUUAUUUUUAAAUGUAUUUUCAUUUAUUUAUUUAUUGUAUGCACUUAUAUGAUUAACAAUGCUAUAGAUUCAGGAUACCUUCGGGACCCGUCUUGAAACACGGACCAAGGAGUCUAACAUAUGUGCAAGUCAUUGGGUAUUUUUAAUAAAACCCAAAGGCAUAAUUAACUUAACUGUUUUAUAUAUAUGGGAUUAGUUUAUAUUUUAUUAUGAAAUAUUAAUUCAAUCCCAGGGCGUUCUAUAUAGUUAUGUAUAAUAGUAUUUAUAUUAUUUAUGCCUCUAACUAGAGCGUACCUUGAGAAUAUAUGCUGUGACC